CCCAGUGUGGCGUAGUGGUUUGAGUGUUGGAAGAUGACUCUGGAGAUCAGGGUUCGAUUCCCUGCUCAGCCA